GCAUUGGUGGUUCAGUGGUAGAAUUCUCACCUUUCACGCAGGAGACCUGGGUUUGAUUCCCGGCCAAUGCA